GACGAACGCUGGCGGCGUGCUUAACACAUGCAAGUCGUACGGUAAGGCCCUUUCGGGGGUCCACGAGUGGCGAACGGGUGAGUAACACGUGAGUAACCUGCCCACAACUUUGGGAUAACGCUAGGAAACUGGUGCUAAUACUGGAUAUGUGCUCCUGCUGCAUGGUGGGGGUUGGAAAGCUCCGGCGGUUGUGGAUGGACUCGCGGCCUAUCGGCUUGUUGGUGGGGUAGUGGCCUACCAAGGCGGCGACGGGUAGCCGGCCUGAGAGGGUGACCGGCCACAUUGGGACUGAGAUACGGCCCAGACUCCGACGGGAGGCAGCAGGGGGGAAUAUUGCACAAUGGGCGCAAGCCGGAUGCAGCAACGCCGCGGGCGGGAUGACGGCCUUCGGGUUGUAAACCGCUUUCAGCAGGGACGAAGCUUUUUGUGACGGUACCUGCAGAAGAAGCACCGGCUAACUACGUG
rnacentral:rRNA from 1 species